AGAAGAGCUAACUAUGCCCCCUGGCCAUCACCCAGCACUUUCAUUCCCAGAUGUAGACGCAAGAGAAAUGAGAGCCCCGUGUCCACUGGAGAUGUGUGUACAGAAGUAUCUGUGACAACUGCAAGCUAGGAACACUCAAAAGCCCACAGGCCCCUGUGCCGUGCUUCCUGCCUUGGAGCCGGCUGCCUAUGAACUGGAACCUCUGCACACUGUUCUGACGCAGCAAGGAGCACUCGUGAGAUGUCGGCACCACGCUCUUGGAUGCUCUAGCCUCCAGAACCAUGAGCUAAACAAACCUCUGUGCAAGAGAAAACAGACUACAACAGACAAUUAUAAUUAUGGUUAUCUUUUCAUGCCACACUGCACAGGAACUUAUUAAGUGACUAAGUUGCCAACGCUGGGCUCGAACUUGUGAUUCUUCUGCUUCAACCUUCCAGAACCUGCCUUUACAGAACAAAGAGCAGCAGCCAAGAGGAAAUGACCCUAAAUUUAGAUCAGGAGUCGCGAGCUGCCAUCCAGCUCUCCCAGUGUAAUCAAGAUACGGCGUUUAUCAUCUCUAAUUCUGCUACUUCCACCAUAAAAGCAGACUUGGACAAGAAGCAGCAUUGGAUAAGAAAAUACUGAGUGUUUUAUGACAAAUCCUGUGCAGCCUAAUGGGGCUUAAUGGUGAACUAAGUACAAUCUGCGACUUUUCUGAUCUUGCUGAUAAUGCAGUCAGGUAGACAAGUUACCACAAAAUUGCAUGAUGUUAGCCUAUGUUACAAGUAGGAGCUUACUUAUAGCCAGGAGGACACCACAUCUGGGGGAGAGAGGAGAGGAGACCUCAAAGGUAUUCUUCUGGAGGCUACUUAGACCUGGAUGAGGAAGGCUGAAGCACCACUGUGAGGGAUAGGUAUGCUCUGACCAGAAAAUGGAACAGAAGAGAGAUCCAAGGGAUAAUUAGUUUUAUGCAUCAAUUUGUUAGGCUAUAAUGUCCACUUAUUUAAUCAAAAGCUAACCUAGGCAUUGUUGAGAAAAUAAUUUGAUGUGGUUACCAUCUACAUUACAAUCAGUUUACUUUAGGUAAAGGAGAUUACCUUCCACAGUGUGGCGGUCCUUGCUCAAUCCGUUGACAGGCCAAAAGAGCAACAGGAAAGAUCUGACUGCAGACUGAGCAUGAACUCCUGCCUGAGUUUCCAGCCUGUAGACCUGCCCUUCAGCCCCCAAGGCCAUGCGAGCCAAGCUCUUAAAAUAAAUCCUGUGUGUCUU